GGUCUUGUAGCUCAAUUGAUUAGAGCAUUGGUCUUAUGAACUAAAGGUCUUGGGUUCGAGCUUGCCAAAAUCA
rnacentral:tRNA from 1 species